rnacentral:misc_RNA from 1 species
GUGAAUCAUCAAAUCUUUGAACGCAAAUUGCACUCCCUGGUAUUCCGGGGAGCAUGCCUGUUUGAGGGUCGUUAGAACAAAAAUCGAAGCGUCGGUCUUUUUUCUAAGGGUGACUGCGGCGGAAUUGAGCCGUCCUUCAAACGUUAAUCCAUGUACAAGUGGCUUGAAAUUUAUCCAUUCGGUACGAUUAAACCUGACUUAAGAUCAACUUUGAACUAGAACGCGCGAGGAACGUACCAUCUCAUGUAGUAC